rnacentral:lncRNA from 1 species
AGUAGAAACUAUUGUUGUGCAUUCCAUUGAAAAAUUAUAUAAAACGUGGGUUUACACAUAAUCUGAUUUUCUAUAAUAAAAGGGUCACCUAUAAAUCAAGAGACUCACUUUUUAGUCUUCUCAGCGGAACAAUUUUGUGCAACAUACUGCUAUUUAUUUUGGGUUGUCUUUCACGAUAGUAUACCUAGGCACCUCUGAUUAUUAUUACUUUUGCCUUCUCUGAUGCGCAACUAUGCAUGCUUCUGCAUUAUGUAAAGCUUAGGCUGCAAGCUGGCAGCGAGAUGGAGAAACAGAAAACAUCGUAAUAACCGUAGAGCCAGCUGUGUGAUGCAUCAGAUGGAGAUGAAGGGAGACUUCAACAUCACCAUGACCGCAAGGUUGAUUUAUCUGCUAGCCAGUAUAAGAUUGAGAUUCAAAAAAUAAUAAUAAGGGGCCAUUAGAGUUUAAAUUAGAACUAAAUUAACCGACACAUGUUUAUGCGUGGGUCUACCUGUGAUUGCUGCAAUGAAUCCAAUAUAAUUUGUUGUACAAAAGGGUCAACCAUAACUAAGAACCAGUACAUUUGAAGGCGAGGUAGCAAUUAUGAGCUAAUGAAAUUGAGAUAGAAGAAAUAGCAACUGAGGAAGGUCGGGAAGAGAGUAUGGAUGUAAGUGGCAGAUAAAUGGCGUCCACAAUCCUGUUUAGUUAAUUUUUGCUAGCUUGAUAGUUCAUUUUCCUCAAACAAACAAAAAACCUUUUUAAACUAUCAUACCAUAAGUGGACUUUAAACGGGAUUAAACGGGACCGGUUGACAUGAGGAGAAGAGAGGAGGUAGCAAUUAUGAGCAAAUGAAAUUGAGAUAGAAAAAAUAGCAACUGAGGAAGGUCGGGAAGAGAGGUUGACUCCAUCGAGAUUGCUAUGAGAGAGCGCGCGGAGGCUGUACCUUGAAGCAUGCACCUCGAUCAGGAGGCUUCGACCCCAUGAUGCGCAGUCCGACGGAAGCACCGAUGAGCAUGUGCUGUAAAAUCAGGUUUUGCACAAACGCAAUGUAUUAAGGAAAAUUAGAUCAAUCGAUAGACCUUAAUUGAUUUUUUUGGAUCUUGCUGUGUACCUAGAUAGUCUUUACACACUUGUAUAUGUGAUAUUUGGAGUAAGCUUGUGACACCAGGAAACUCUUCACUGUGCCUAAAAGCAAAUAAAAUGGGAAAAGUAGCAUGAAAAGUUUAUCUUCACAAUUUCUAUCUAUUCGUAAUCUCCAGCACACUAUUAAGUUUCAGUGAUUCUUUGUCGACCAAACAAAAGAAACUCGAGAAUAAUCGAUUAAUGCAUCCAUAGUUUGUGUUCUUUACCUAAAAUCUACAUGGAACAAUUACACAGAGGGAAGUGUAGAAGAACUAUUGUGGAACCUCAAUAAAAAAGGAAGCGAGCCAACAUGCUUCGCCAUAAAACAUUUGAAUUUGCAUAUACCUUCAGAUUGGAGCGUGCCUGGGAAGUACUCUUCAUCAGUAAGAAAAUAUAAUUAGAAAAAGGUUCCAGUAUGAAACAUGAAUUUGCAUAUGGUUAGAAACUGAAUAGUAAUAUUCCCACAAAAACUCAGAAACUGAAACAUAAAUUUGCAUGUAGCCACAAACUGAAAAGUAAUCUUCCCACAAACGCUCAGAAACGCAUAUAGUCAGAAACUAAAUAGUAAUCUUCCCAUGUGUAUACCGUAAUAAAAUUACUCAGAAACUGUAACUUGCAUCUACCUUCAUAUUGGAGAGUGUGUGGGGAGUAAUCUUCAGUAAGAAAACAGCAGCUCGAUCCCAAGGCAGCCGAGAAGAAACCCGAAGGAUUUAAAUGGAAGGCUACAUAUUGAAUCAAGCAAAAAUUAAAUUCAGAAUUGGAAUAGGGAAAGAAUUAAAAUGCAAGGUUGUGUAUUCAAUCAAACAAAUGAGCAUAUCAAUCAAACAUCCGGAAUAGAGAAAGAACAGAAAUUGAAAGCUAUGUAUUCAAUCAACCAAAAUUAUAUGUACAUAUCAACGAAACACACAAAAAUUCAGAAUUAGUGAUGGAUGGGGACAUUAUGUGCCAAUAGGACCCAUAAACCUGAGGCGCAAUAACCAAGAUGACUGACAUAGGGAAUGGCUAGGAGAGAGGAAGAAUAACCAAGAUGACUGACAUAGGGAAUGGCUAGGAGAGAGGAGAGAGUUGCUGACCACUGGCAGCAGUAUGAGCGUCGUAUGGCAGACAUCCAUCCAUAUGGGAGGACGAUGGGAAUAAAAUGAGUGGGGCAGCAACUUUAAAAGGGAACCCGUCAGUUUCUUGUGGACAUCGUGGGGAGAGGAAGCGGAGCGUCGAC